rnacentral:rRNA from 1 species
UUUGGCCUGGAAUAACACGAGGAAACUUGUGCUAAUACCAGAUAAGUCUUUACGGAGAAAGCUUUAUGCACCAUUGGAUGAGCCCGCACUUGAUUAGUUUGUUGGUGGGGUAAUGGCCUACCAAGACUGUGAUCAAUAGCUGAUUUGAGAGGAUGAUCAGCCACAUUGGGACUGAGACACGGCCCAAACUCCUACGGGAGGCAGCAGUGGGGAAUCUUGCACAAUGGAGGAAACUCUGAUGCAGCGAUGCCGCGUGAGUGAAGAAGGCCCUUGGGUUGUAAAGCUCUUUCGUCGGGGAAGAAAAUGACUGUACCCGAAUAAGAAGGUCCGGCUAACUUCGUGCCAGCAGCCGCGGUAAUACGAAGGGACCUAGCGUAGUUCGGAAUUACUGGGCUUAAAGAGUUCGUAGGUGGUUGAAAAAGUUGGUGGUGAAAUCCCAGAGCUUAACUCUGGAACUGCCAUCAAAGCUUUUCAGCUAGAGUAUGAUAGAGGAAAGCAGAAUUUCUAGUGUAGAGGUGAAAUUCGUAGAUAUUAGAAAGAAUACCAAUUGCGAAGGCAGCUUUCUGGAUCAUUACUGACACUGAGGAACGAAAGCAUGGGUAGCGAAGAGGAUU